GGAGCCACAUUGAGCCACACUCAACCGCGCAGCAUUACGAGAGGAACCCUUGAGUGCGAGUUCCCUCAACGGGACAUCUUUCUCAUUACCAUCAUACUUUCCUUUUUAUGGUAGAGCAACAGACAUCUCCUCAUGCUUGACAAACACGAGUCUAUCAACAACACAGACAAAAAAAGCGCGAUCCUUCAGCAUAAAAGGGAUUCAUUCCGUGGGUCCUUCCGGGGAAGCAGCCGCACAACAAGCCAUGCACAUCCAGCAACCAGACGGAGGCGCACUGCACCAUCCGGCGAUGCUGACUUGGGCGCAUUUUGGAGACACAAAUUCUCUUCACCCAGUUUACUAGAGGCGUCUAAGUGGUUAUAAUCAAGUUCUGUAGAACGGACAACCGGACAGUCUAUAGGGGAACCUUCGUGCGGAGAUCCCGCAAUAUCUACACACCGACAACCAGCUGACUAAACUAGAAGAGGUGUGCAGUAAGCAGCGGUACAUGACCGGGACGAAGAAGAUUAUUCUGGCCUCAUCGCUGAGACUGGCCGAGACACGGGUCAAUGUCUGGUUCCAGGACAGGAGAACGCGGUGGAGGAAGGCCCACGGGGACAUGGUCGGUGUACCGGAGAGACACGCUCACGGUGAAACGUUGAGCAAGGAGGAGUUGAUUUCCGUGGACAAUGACGAGUCAUGGGUGUAUUUUUUUAAUAUGUUUUAUAUUAGUAAAUGCCUUGAGUCCACCACACACAUUCAUGGUGAUUAUUGAAUUCUUAUUCUUGUCAAACAAGAGAGAAUAUUGCCGAUAUUUUACCACUGCGUGGCCUGGCAUGGUUUGCUUUUGCUCAUCAGCUAACAACUAGGCUAUGAGUUACUGAAUAUUUAGCCAUAUAAUUUGUGUAAUGUAUUUUAUAUUCCCCAUAUCACAACAUUCCUUAUGUGAUUUAAUUUCCCCCUGCAUUCCUUUUACACCUGCAGUUUUUAUUGGGUUUCCUUUCAGUUUAUGUGGUGGCAUUUAUCCACGUACUGAACCCAGGAUAUAGGCCUAGCUUUAUACCAACACAGGAUAUAGGCCUAGCUUUAUACCGAACACAGGAUAUAGGCCUAGCUUUAUACCAACACAGGAUAUAGGCCUAGCUUUAUACCAACACAGGAUAUAGGCCUAGCUUUAUACCGAACACAGGAUAUAGGCCUAGCUUUAUACCGAACACAGGAUAUAGGCCUAGCUUUAUACCGUACACAGGAUAUAGGCCUAGCUUUAUACCGAACACAGGAUAUAGGCCUAGCUUUAUAUCGAACACAGGGUGUAAGCCUUCUGUACCGAACCCAGGAUAUAGGCCUAGCUUUAUAUCGAACACAGGGUGUAAGCCUUCUGUACCGAACCCAGGAUAUAGGCCUAGCUUUAUACCGAACACAGGGUGUAAGCCUUCUGUACCGAACCCAGGAUAAAGGCAUUACCUCCUAUAUUGCUGUUGUUUAUGUUGUUAAUGUGGAAUAUUUUCUACUGAUCACUGUCUCUAUAUUGUUGUUUUGACUGAUAUUUUUUUAGCUACUUGAUAUGUAAUUCUCUUGUAUUUAAAAAAAUAAACAUUUGGCUUAUA